rnacentral:rRNA from 1 species
CCAGCAGCUGCGGUAAUUCCAGCUCCAAUAGCGUAUAUUAAAGUUGUUGCAGUUAAAAAGCUCGUAGUUGGACCUUGGGGUGUGUGUGCUGGUCCGCCGAAAGGCGAGCACUGGUGCGUGCAUUCUUUCUGCCCGAGGGUCGGUCGUAAGACCGGAACUUGGGAGGUUUACUGUGAAAAAAUUAGAGUGUUCAAAGCAGGCGUUUCGCUUGAAUACAUUAGCAUGGAAUAAUAGAAUAGGACUUUGGUUCUAUUUUGUUGGUUUCUAGGACCAAAGUAAUGAUUAAUAGGGAUAGUUGGGGGCAUUAGUAUUUAAUUGUCAGAGGUGAAAUUCUUGGAUUUAUGAAAGACUAACUUCUGCGAAAGCAUUUGCCAAGGAUGUUUUCAUUAAUCAAGAACGAAAGU